GGGGGUGUACUGGUUUUCGACAUUUGGGAUGAAGCCAGAAAUGCACGCAGAGGACUCCAGUUGGCCUCUUUAAAAAUCUGGAAACGUAUAAAUGCAGAAGACUACUCUUUUGCCAAAGUCGCCUAACUAAAGGCGGCGAGUCAAUGGUGAGUGUCAUUGUAGCCAAAGGCUUGUUUAAAAUGACUUGGGGAGCGAAGAGCUUGUGAGAGAAGCGACCGACAUUACGCUACAAGCCGUCUUAUGACAGAUUUUGCAGGAUGCUUGGUCAAUAGACGUAAUUGAAACCUGAUAAGCGCGUAGACUUUCUGAUGGAUUUUCACUUGCACGAGGGUUCGACUCCCUCCACCUCCACUU
rnacentral:tmRNA from 1 species